rnacentral:rRNA from 1 species
AUUGAACGCUGGCGGCAUGCCUUACACAUGCAAGUCGAACGGCAGCAUGGAAGAGCUUGCUCUUCUGAUGGCGAGUGGCGAACGGGUGAGUAAAGCAUCGAAACGUACCGUGUAGUGGGGGAUAACGUAGCGAAAGUUACGCUAAUACCGCAUACGCACUGCGGUGGAAAGCAGGGGAUCGCAAGACCUUGCGCUAUACGAGCGGCCGAUGUCAGAUUAGCUAGUUGGUAGGGUAAAGGCCUACCAAGGCGACGAUCUGUAGCGGGUCUGAGAGGAUGAUCCGCCACACUGGGACUGAGACACGGCCCAGACUCCUACGGGAGGCAGCAGUGGGGAAUUUUGGACAAUGGGGGAAACCCUGAUCCAGCCAUGCCGCGUGAGUGAAGAAGGCCUUCGGGUUGUAAAGCUCUUUCGGCUGGGAAGAAAUCGCACAGGCUAAUACUCUGUGUGGAUGACGGUACCAGCAUAAGAAGCACCGGCUAACUACGUGCCAGCAGCCGCCGUAA